AAACUUUUGAAGCAGAAGAGUAACCUUUAUAACAUAUAUCUUAUGAAUACAUAAAGGGUUAAAGUCAGAAGGGCUGGAGGCAAAGGUCUAGCUAAGAAACUAUAAUAAUAGUUGAGGCACAAGAAAAUGAAGGCCUGGACUAAUGUGAUGGCAAUGGAAACAGAAGAGAACGGCUGGAUAUACAUUGGUAAUAUAGAGAGGAAACAUAAUUGUUUCUGAUAUCAUGGAAAUCAGGACAGUGGCAGUUGGAAUUGUGGCAAUCAAAGGGGUGGAAAGUGAAUUCUAUCUUGCAAUGAACAAGGAAGGAAAACUCUAUGCAAAGAAAGAAUGCAAUGAAGAUUGUAACUUCAAAGAACUAAUUCUGGAAAACCAUUACAACACAUAUGCAUCAGCUAAAUGGACACACAACGGAGGGGAAAUGUUUGUUGCCUUAAAUCAAAAGGGGAUUCCUGUAAGAGGAAAAAAAACGAAGAAAGAACAAAAAACAGCCCACUUUCUUCCUAUGGCAAUAACUUAAUUGCAUAUGGUAUAUAAAGAACCAGUUCCAGCAGGGAGAUUUCUUUAAGUGGACUGUUUUCUUUCUUCUCAAAAUUUUCUUUCCUUUUAUUUUUUAGUAAUCAAGAAAGGCUGGAAAACUACUGAAAAACUGAUCAAGCUGGACUUGUGCAUUUAUGUUUGUUUUAAGACACUGCAUUAAAGAAAGAUUUGAAAAGUAUACACAAAAAUCAGAUUUAGUAACUAAAGGUUGUAAAAAAUUGUAAAACUGGUUGUACAAUCAUGAUGUUAGUAACAGUAAUUUUUUUCUUAAAUUAAUUUACCCUUAAGAGUAUGUUAGAUUUGAUUAUCUGAUAAUGAUUAUUUAAAUAUUCCUAUCUGCUUAUAAAAUGGCUGCUAUAAUAAUAAUAAUACAGAUGUUGUUAUAUAAGGUAUAUCAGACCUACAGGCUUCUGGCAGGAUUUGUCAGAUAAUCAAGCCACACUAACUAUGGAAAAUGAGCAGCAUUUUAAAUGCUUUCUAGUGAAAAAUUAUAAUCUACUUAAACUCUAAUCAG
rnacentral:lncRNA from 10 species